GAUGAACGCUGGCGGCGUGCCUAAUACAUGCCAGUCGAGCGAACGGACGAGAAGCUUGCUUCUCUGAUGUUAGCGGCGGACGGGUGAGUAACACGUGGAUAACCUACCUAUAAGACUGGGAUAACUUCGGGAAACCGGAGCUAAUACCGGAUGAUAUUUUGAACCGCAUGGUUCAAAAGUGAAAGACGGUCUUGCUGUCACUUAUAGAUGGAUCCGCGCUGCACUAGCUAGUUGGUAAGGUAACGGCUUACCAAGGCAACGAUGCAUAGCCGACCUGAGAGGGUGAUCGGCCACACUGGAACUGAGACACGGUCCAGACUCCUACGGGAGGCAGCAGUAGGGAAUCUUCCGCAAUGGGCGAAAGCCUGACGGAGCAACGCCGCGUGAGUGAUGAAGGUCUUCGGAUCGUAAAACUCUGUUAUUAGGGAAGAACAUAUGUGUAAGUAACUGUGCACAUCUUGACGGUACCUAAUCAGAAAGCCACGGCUAACUACGUG
rnacentral:rRNA from 1 species